rnacentral:rRNA from 1 species
UGGGGAAUAUUGCACAAUGGGCGCAAGCCUGAUGCAGCCAUGCCGCGUGUAUGAAGAAGGCCUUCGGGUUGUAAAGUACUUUCAGCGAGGAGGAAGGCGUUGUGGUUAAUAACCGCAACGAUUGACGUUACUCGCAGAAGAAGCACCGGCUAACUCCGUGCCAGCAGCCGCGGUAAUACGGAGGGUGCAAGCGUUAAUCGGAAUUACUGGGCGUAAAGCGCACGCAGGCGGUCUGUCAAGUCGGAUGUGAAAUCCCCGGGCUCAACCUGGGAACUGCAUCCGAAACUGGCAGGCUAGAGUCUUGUAGAGGGGGGUAGAAUUCCAGGUGUAGCGGUGAAAUGCGUAGAGAUCUGGAGGAAUACCGGUGGCGAAGGCGGUCCCCUGGACAAAGACUGACGCUCAGGUGCGAAAGCGUGGGGAGCAAACA